AUUGAACGCUGGCGGCAGGCCUAACACAUGCCAGUCGAACGGUAACAGGAAACAGCUUGCUGUUUCGCUGACGAGUGGCGGACGGGUGAGUAAUGUCUGGGAAACUGCCUGAUGGUGGGGGAUAACUACUGGAAACGGUAGCUAAUACCGCAUAACGUCGCAGGACCAAAGAGGGGGACCCUCGGGCCUCUUGCCAUCGGAUGUGCCCAGGUGGGAUUAGAUUGUUGGUGGGGUAACGGCUCACCAAGGCGACGAUCCCUAGCUGGUCUGAGAGGAUGACCAGCCACACUGGAACUGAGACACGGUCCAGACUCCUACGGGAGGCAGCAGUGGGGAAUAUUGCACAAUGGGCGCAAGCCUGAUGCAGCCAUGCCGCGUGUAUGAAGAAGGCCUUCGGGUUGUAAAGUACUUUCAGCGGGGAGGAAGGGAGUAAAGUUAAUACCUUUGCUCAUUGACGUUACCCGCAGAAGAAGCACCGGCUAACUCCGUG
rnacentral:rRNA from 1 species